CAAUUUGUAUCCUGAUGAGGCUUGUGUAUUUUUUUUCUCUGUCUCUGUAUGACAGAGAAAUGUUUAUGCUCAAUAUUGUUGUUCAAACUGAUGCUCAAAUUUCCAAGCACCACCUGAACGCCUCAUCGGUCUUUAACUCAUCACUGUACCACUGUCGUCAUUCCGCUUUGCUCUCUGCUGUGGAACUUGACUGACACCUGUGCUUUGCCUGUGUGCAGAAGAAGAACAAGGACCAGAUCUCCAGUCUUCUCUCUCACAUCCCAACCCCCAACCCC